rnacentral:misc_RNA from 1 species
CGGCCAACUCCCUCUCCAUAUUCUCUCCCUCUAUAUUAUGUGAAACUGUUGGAGACCUGUGCUGCGAGGAUUGCAAGGUUGCUUGAUGGAACUGGCGGGCCAACGGCAACGGGUACCGUGAGGGAAUCAGCUUCAGAACAUAGCUUUCAUGGGCGUCUCUUGCUUGCUUAUCUCUUUCAUGGUGUCUCUUGCUUGCUUAUCUAUCUCACUGCUGGUCAGUGGAAUUUGUCGUUUUCUGCUGGGUGUAAAGAGG